GGGGGUGUGGCGGAAUUGGCAGACGCGGGGGACUUAAAAUCCCCUGGGCGAAAAGCCCGUGAGGGUUCGACUCCCUCCACCCCCACCACCC
rnacentral:tRNA from 1 species